rnacentral:rRNA from 1 species
AGGAACCUGCCUUUCAGAGGGGGACAACAGUUGGAAACGACUGCUAAUACCGCAUGACACAUCGGAGUCGCAUGGCUCUGAUGUCAAAGAUUUAUCGCUGAAAGAUGGCCUCGCGUCUGAUUAGCUAGUUGGUGAGGUAACGGCCCACCAAGGCGACGAUCAGUAGCCGGACUGAGAGGUUGAACGGCCACAUUGGGACUGAGGUACGGCCCAGACUCCUACGGGAGGCAGCAGUGGGGAAUAUUGGGCAAUGGGCGCAAGCCUGACCCAGCAACGCCGCGUGAAGGAAGAAGGCUUUCGGGUUGUAAACUUCUUUUGUCAGGGACGAGUAGAAGACGGUACCUGACGAAUAAGCCACGGCUAACUACGUGCCAGCAGCCGCGGUAAUACGUAGGUGGCAAGCGUUGUCCGGAUUUACUGGGUGUAAAGGGCGUGUAGCCGGGAGGGCAAGUCAGAUGUGAAAUCCACGGGCUCAACUCGUGAACUGCAUUUGAAACUACUCUUCUUGAGUAUCGGAGAGGCAAUCGGAAUUCCUAGUGUAGCGGUGAAAUGCGUAGAUAUUAGGAGGAACACCAGUGGCGAAGGCGGAUUGCUGGACGACAACUGACGGUGAGGCGCGAAAGCGUGGG